UACGUAGGGUGCGAGCGUUGUCCGGAUUUAUUGGGCGUAAAGAGCUCGUAGGCGGCUUGUCGCGUCGGAUGUGAAAGCCCGGGGCUUAACUCCGGGUCUGCAUUCGAUACGGGCAGGCUAGAGUGUGGUAGGGGAGAUCGGAAUUCCUGGUGUAGCGGUGAAAUGCGCAGAUAUCAGGAGGAACACCGAUGGCGAAGGCAGGGUCUCUGGGCCACUACUGACGCUGAGAAGCGAAAGCAUGGGGAGCGAACAGG
rnacentral:rRNA from 1 species